AGAGUUUGAUUAUGGCUCAGGACGAACGCUGGCGGCGUGCCUAAUACAUGCAAGUCGAGCGAGCUUGCCUAGAUGAUUUUAGUGCUUGCACUAAAUGAAACUAGAUACAAGCGAGCGGCGGACGGGUGAGUAACACGUGGGUAACCUGCCCAAGAGACUGGGAUAACACCUGGAAACAGAUGCUAAUACCGGAUAACAACACUAGACGCAUGUCUAGAGUUUGAAAGAUGGUUCUGCUAUCACUCUUGGAUGGACCUGCGGUGCAUUAGCUAGUUGGUAAGGUAACGGCUUACCAAGGCAAUGAUGCAUAGCCGAGUUGAGAGACUGAUCGGCCACAUUGGGACUGAGACACGGCCCAAACUCCUACGGGAGGCAGCAGUAGGGAAUCUUCCACAAUGGACGAAAGUCUGAUGGAGCAACGCCGCGUGAGUGAAGAAGGGUUUCGGCUCGUAAAGCUCUGUUGGUAGUGAAGAAAGAUAGAGGUAGUAACUGGCCUUUAUUUGACGGUAAUUACUUAGAAAGUCACGGCUAACUACGUGCCAGCAGCCGCGGUAAUACGUAGGUGGCAAGCGUUGUCCGGAUUUAUUGGGCGUAAAGCGAGUGCAGGCGGUUCAAUAAGUCUGAUGUGAAAGCCUUCGGCUCAACCGGAGAAUUGCAUC
rnacentral:rRNA from 1 species